rnacentral:rRNA from 1 species
GAGUUUGAUCCUGGCUCCGGAUGAACGCUAGCGCCCAGCUUUAACCCAUGCAAGUCGAGGGGCAGCGGAGAGGAAAGCUUGCUUUUCUCUGCCGGCGACCGGCGCGCGGGUGAGUAACACGUAUGCAACUUCCCCCUGGCAGGGGGAUAACCCGGAGAAAUCCGGACUAAUACCGCGUAACACCGCGGGGAGACAUCUCCCGGCGGUCAAAGGAAGCGAUUCCGGCCAGGGAUGGGCAUGCGGCGCAUUAGGCAGUUGGCGGGGUAACGGCCCACCAAACCGACGAUGCGUAGGGGUUCUGAGAGGAAGGUCCCCCACACUGGUACUGAGACACGGACCAGACUCCUACGGGAGGCAGCAGUGAGGAAUAUUGGUCAAUGGGCGCAAGCCUGAACCAGCCAAGUCGCGUGAGGGAAGACGGUCCUAUGGAUUGUAAACCUCUUUUGUCAGGGAGCAAGCGCGGGACGCGUCCCGUAGCUGAGAGUACCUGAAGAAAAAGCAUCGGCUAACUCCGUGCCAGCAGCCGCGGUAAUACGGAGGAUGCGAGCGUUAUCCGGAUUUAUUGGGCGUAAAGCGAGCGCAGGCGGUCUCUUAAGUCUGAUGUGAAAGCCCCCGGCUCAACCGGGGAGGGUCAUUGGAAACUGGGGAACUUGAGUGCAGAAGAGGAGAGUGGAAUUCCAUGUGUAGCGGUGAAAUGCGUAGAUAUAUGGAGGAACACCAGUGGCGAAGGCGACUCUCUGGUCUGUAACUGACGCUGAGGCUCGAAAGCGUGGGGAGCAAACAGGAUUAGAUACCCUGGUAGUCCAUGCCGUAAACGGUGGGCGCUAGGUGUAGGGGUCUUCCACGACUUCUGUGCCGUAGCUAACGCAUUAAGCGCCC